CUGAGGAUAAUACCGGAUAGGCAAUUUUUCCUGUAAUGGUUCUUUGUUUAAAUGUUUUUUCGCCUAAGGAUGGGUCUGCGGCCGAUUAGGUAGUUGGUUAGGUAAUGGCUUACCAAGCCGUUGAUCGGUACGGGUUGUGAGAGCAAGAGCCCGGAGAUGGAACCUGAGACAAGGUUCCAGGCCCUACGGGGCGCAGCAGGCGCGAAACCUCCACAAUGUGAGAAAUCGCGAUGGGGGGAUCCCAAGUGCCAUUCUUAACGGGAUGGCUUUUCAUUAGUGUAAAAAGCUUUUGGAAUAAGAGCUGGGCAAGACCGGUGCCAGCCGCCGCGGUAACACCGGCAGCUCUAGUGGUAGCAACUUUUAUUGGGCCUAAAGCGUCCGUAGCCGGUUUAAUAAGUCUCUGGUGAAAUCCUGUAGCUUAACUGUGGGAAUUGCUGGAGAUACUAUUAGACUUGAGACCGGGAGAGGUUGGAGGUACUCCCAGGGUAGAGGUGAAAUUCUGUAAUCCUGGGAGGACCGCCUGUUGCGAAGGCGUCUAACUGGAACGGUUCUGACGGUGAGGGACGAAAGUUAGGGGCGCGAACCGGAUUAGAUACCCGGGUAGUCCUAACUGUAAACGAUGCGGACUUGGUGUUGGGAUGGCUUUGAGCCGCUCCGGUGCCGAAGGGAAGCUGUUAAGUCCGCCGCCUGGGAAGUACGGUCGCAAGACUGAAACUUAA
rnacentral:rRNA from 1 species